UAGGGAAUCUUCCGCAAUGGACGAAAGUCUGACGGAGCAACGCCGCGUGAGUGAAGAAGGAUUUCGGUUCGUAAAACUCUGUUGUUAGGGAAGAAAAAAUGUAUAGUAACUAUAUACAAAAGAGACGGUACCUAACCAGAAAGCCACGUCUAACUACGUGCCAGCAGCCGCGGUAAUACGUAGGUGGCAAGCGUUGUCCGGAAUUAUUGGGCGUAAAGCGCGCGCAGGUGGUUUAGAAAGUCUGAUGUGAAAGCCCACGGCUCAACCGUGGAGGGUCAUUGGAAACUAAUAAACGUGAGUGCAGGAGAGAAAAGUGGAAUUCCGAGUGUGGCGGUGAAAUGCGUAGAGAUUAGGAGGGACACCGGUGGCGAAAGCGGCUUUUUGGCCUGCAACUGACACUGAGGCGCGAAAGCGUGGGGAGCAAACAGG
rnacentral:rRNA from 1 species